UUAAUUGUAAUUUUAUCAUCAAAAUUUUAAGUGAUAUAUUAUUUUACUAAAUAUUUAUAAAAAGAGACAUUUACUCACUUAAUUUUAUAUUUAAGUGGGCCAAAAUAAUCCUAAUAACUAUCAUUUAUUGACUUAAAUAUGUACCUAAAUUUUGAAUAUGCUUAAUUACAAAAUCAUCCAGGCUCAACAUAUUAAUAAUAAGGAAAGAUAAUCAACGUCAGUGUUGUCGCCGGAUCAAGCAAGACUACCAGAAGGUUCACUCCCAGAAACUGUUUAUUCGUUUGCUGGUUUUCACACUGGAAGUGGCCAUUGGGACCAUGCCAAAGAACGUGGAACAAUUUGUUCUCCUUUUCGAUGCAACAUCAUUGACAGAAAGUUAAUAGAGGCUCUUCUCAAGACUUCUUCCUAUCAAGGUAACAAUUAAAUCAUCAUGAUUUUAAUCCUCCCAUUCCAUCUCUUUCCUCCAUUCAAAGAAGAAAUAUUUCUGGAAGAGGUAAGAUUGAUGGAGAUAAGAUGACCAGCGGCCAUAGAGAUAGAGAGGUAAAGCUUAUAUAUGAUUUCUCUUACAUUUAUGUUUAUAUUUCGUGUCUCAUGCCUUUGUAUAUAUAUUAACUUAUUCUAGUCCAUGUAAGGCUUCAGACUUCAUGUGUUUCCGGUGCCUGAUCUGAAUAUACUGUUUAUGAAUUACUCUCAAACCUUGAUCGGGAUAUUUCUUUUCAUUAUUAUUAUUCUUUCGGUUCCCAGUCCGUGUGAACUUUGAUAGCCUUUGGACUAUUUUUAUACACAUAAUAUAUAUAUAUAAUUAUUACAUUUGUUUCUAUAUUUCAUAAGUCUCUAAUAGUUCAUAAGUUUUCUUUUUCGAAUCAAAAUUUGUUUCUAUAUUUCUUCGGCAGUCAAGGCGCUCAUUCCACCGUUGUCUCUCUGUUAGUCUUCAAAGGGAGUUUUCUUUUUCUUAUAUUUAAAUUAUUAUUAGUUUCUAAUUCUCUGUGACUAAAUUUCUAGGAACAGAUGAUGUUUUGCAAAGUCGUUACCAGAAAAAAGUUAAAAGAGUUUCAUUUUCCGAUGACGAGGGUGGUGGCGGAAUAACCAGAGACAUGAUUUGGGUUGUUUUGGUUUAAGCUUUAUUACUUUUUAUGGUGUAUUUCAAUGAGCUAGGAGCGGUGUUUGAAGAUGUUAUAGCUUUAUUGUCUAAAUUUCCGGGGGCAGUUUUGUCCUAUGUGGCUCGCUUUGGAUAUUUAGCGGCCCAUGGUUUGGCAAAGCAUGCUCUACGGUUAGACGAUGAGCUAUCCUAGUUCGAGGAGGUUCCAGCGCCGGUGGCAGACGUCUGCGUCGUAAAUUUAUGAGUGAUUCUAAUCAUUUUGUAAAAAAAGAAAAAAAAAAAUCAUCCAGGCUCAAACACCUACAAUUUUGGUAUUGUUUACUAGUCUAAAGCUCUAGUACUCGCAAUUUUGCCAUGUUAUAAAUUGCUCCAGAAAUUAUAAUAUUAAAAUUUAGAA